UCCGGCUUCCCGCCGGCAGUCUCCCGAGAGUCCCCGACUUUACUCGCUGGUACCGAAGGAGGGCCCUGCUUUCACAGGGCUUUCACCAGGAUGUCAAGUCCAGGUAAGGUUCUUCGCGUUGCUUCGAAUUAAACCACAUGCUCCACCGCUUGUGCGGGCCCCCGUCAAUUCCUUUGAGUUUCAGCCUUGCGGCCGUACUCCCCAGGCGGGGUGCUUAACGCGUUAGCUGCGACGCUGAAAGGGUCGCUCCCCCCAGCAUCUAGCACCCAUCGUUUACGGCGUGGACUAC
rnacentral:misc_RNA from 1 species